UUCAGCAGCUUUAUGGAGCCAUGCCAAUUUCCCCUGCUUGGGAAUGAACUGGAGGAGCUUCUUCCCAUGCUGGAGCCUCACAGGAAAGAAAAGGGGUGAACGUGCCAGUGGUGGCUGUGCUGCAGCUCACUGAUCUUUGCAGGGUGCAGGUAGAGAGGAGCAGGUGAGAAUCCUCUCCAAGAUUACAGAGAUCUCGUGUCCCAUAAGUCCCAGGUGGUGGUGGAGCCCCUGGUUUUUUGGGAAUCUCACUCUGGAGCAUGCCCAUAAUGUGGCAGUGACCCAGCUACUGUGUAAAUAUUUUUGAAAAGCAGCAUUUGUCCCCAUAUUAGCAGGCAGAGAAAGGCAAGGUGGUAUGGGCAGCCCAAGGUGUGGGGAAGGAGUCCUGGCUCUCCCAGGGUCUGGAGUUCUGCUUCUUGUGUUUUAGCCCAGAUUUUCUUCUGGAAUGUGGCAUCCAGCACGCUGUGCCAAGAGAUGCUCUGCCCUGUGUGAUGGCAGGACUACAUCCCUCCCCUGUGGAUUUGCUUCCCUGUGCCUUGGCCUGCUCCUGUGACUGGUGGGGAAGCAAUUCUUUUUUUAGGUGAAGAACUCCUAAGAUUAUCAAAUGAACAGAACUGUGCAACAUAAAAUCUUGAAUUUACUAGCUAUUAUUUGUAUCCUUAGAAGCACAGUGUGCUGUCAUCUUGCCUUUAUAAAGAUCAAAAUCCAUCCCGACAGCCUGCUUUGCCUACUUUCUCCAUGGCUGAAGGCAACUUUGCAGGCCCUUGGAGCUGAAACUGUCACUUUUUGUUAAUCCUGUGUGUUUCUUGUGUUUAAACUUUUGAAUAUAUCAGUAGAGCUGGUGUAAUCUCCAUAAUCAUGACUUUAUCGUACAAGAAUAACUCUUGAAUAUCUAGCCCGAAGUUAACUCUUCUCAGACAGCAGUGACAUGGGUGACAAGAUGGCAAAGAUGCUUUUCAGGAGAUGUGGUAAAAGCUGUGGCACUGCCCAGCCCAGCAGGGUGAGGCUCAGGCUGGUGCCUUGGUUGCUGCAGGGAGAUGCAUGAGGCAGUGGAUGGAGUGGUGCUUUCCCACUUCUGCUACUUGUAUCUCACUCUGGUUUUCAUUUGUAGACCUACUGUGUCCAUUAUCUACCACAGUGACACUUAAUCCAUGUGGAAAAGUCAAGGCUUAGCAUUUCACUUCAUGAAGCUGGUAAUACAUUGCAAAUUAAACAACAUUAUUUGCUCUCUUUUCUUCUCUCUCAAGUUUGUUUCCAUACAGGAUGUGCUCAAGAAAUGCAAGAUGGAAAAAGAAAAUCAAUAGUCAUUGAUGCUAAAAUAUUAAUGUUUUUUCAGAAUGAGGGGUGGAAUAGAGUGAACUCCCAGGAGUUCACAGCAGCCCUGACUGCAGCGCUGCAGAGUUUGCAAAAGCAUUGGAGAGCAGAGGUAGGGCCAGCAUGGGCAGGGAAAGAAGGGUCUGGUGUGAGCUGACUUUUGUGCACUCUCUGACACCUUGCAGAGUGAAAUGGGCGCUGUGCAGUGCCUGUCCUGUGUGUCAGUGUGGGAAUGGCAACCAGCAUUGCCUGCUACCCCGUGCUCCUGGAAAAAUCCUGACAGGGUGUGCAUCCACCCAGGAGCAGCGGGAAUGGCCCUGCAGCUUCUGCUGCCCAGCACUGUCCCACGCAGCCAUGUUCCCCUGUGUGCCAGAGCCAGGGCUGUGCUCCUGCACUGGCACUGUCCCCUAGUCUGGGUAGUGAGAAACCAUCGGGGAGCUGGGAACACGUGCACCAGCACUGAAACAAGUACAAUUAUUGUAAGGUGUGCAUAUGACUUCGCAAGGAUUACACAGAGAACUAGGCCAAGCUUUCCCCAUGCCGAGGGUGUCAUCCCUCCCCGGUGGUCCAGCCCUCCCAGUUACCCCUUGGCAGCAGGUUUGUUGCCAUUACUGUGCCAGAAAAGUGUGUUGGUGACAGAAAAGAGCAGACUGUGUGUGUGAUCUUUGCAGGCUGCCUGGCAGAGCUGGCUCCGGCCUUGCUGGGCUGUCGUGAGGGGAUCUGGCACCUCGGUUCCCAGCCUCCAGAAACACUCUGUGUUCACGCCGUCCUCCUUUUGUUCAGGUUUCCAGAGGAGUUUCUUUUUAGACAGAAGCCUUCAGAUGGGAUUUAUGUGAACGUGAAACCCCAUCAGGCAUGGGCAGAUUUGGGUUUCCCAGCCCAUUCCUUGGGUGCUGCUGCCAUCUAGGGUGUGAGCCAGCAGAGCCUCGGUGCUGGCCACGGGCAGCCACGGCCUUAUCGCACUGUCCACGGCCUUAUCACACAGUCCCACAGCCUUAUCACACAGUCCCACAGCCUUAUCACACUGUCCACAGCCUGCCCUGCAGGGUUUGCUCUGAAGCAUUGAUGGCAGCCAGGCCAGGGCCCACCGCAGCUGCCAGGGCUGAGCCACGUUUGGGGUUAAGCAUGGUCAUGGCACCUUACUGCCCAAGGAAAGACUGCAGAGGAGCAGUGUUCUGAGGUGUCACUGUGGUGUGGGGACACGGGGUUUGGUUUCUGCUGUUGCCAUAAGCUCCCAGGUGUGCUGCAGGUGCAGUGACACUGCAGGGGCUGGCGAGGAGCCCUGGGCUCACAGCAGGUCUUGCCCCUGGCUGGGCAGGUUGGCUUGGUUGUUGUUUAAAGGUCCCUGUGCAGACUGGCAGGGUGCGUGGAAGGGGUCAGAGAUGGCCGUGGUGUCUCUGAGCUGAAGCCCCUCUGAAGCAGACUUGUGUUCCACCUGGGCUGUACUGCCACCUUUGUUUUUGUGUCAAACAGGUCUGGUCUGCCAACCCAAGAAGUUUUUACACACACUUAGAGAGAAUGUGAGCCAAAGCCAGGCUGGCUCCUGCCCAGCCUGAGGGGCACAGGGAGGGAACAGAUGUUCACUCCAAACCAAAAUCAUUCCUGAGCUUGAAUCUGCACUAAUGGCUCUGGCCCUGCAUCGAGGACUUCAAAGCAAAAGGAAUUUUUUGGAAUAGUUCCAGCUCAGGUGUAACUGAAAUCCCAUUUUACAGACUGUUUCCACAGACUCCAUUUGUGAAACCCAGGAAACAGGACUCACUUUUCUGCAGCAAACUGGAGCCUGGCUGAGCGUGCUGACGCCACGUGGAUUUUCCCUGAGCUUACCUUGGUGAGGUAAAGCUCUGAGCUCAAAUUCCUGGUGAAAUAAAUUUACAUACGGUGUGAAACCCCUCCCAUCUCCCCUGGAGCCAGGUGAGGGGCUGCCAGGGCUGUCUGCCACCCUUGGUAUGGCUGAAGCAGGCACUGAGUAGUGCAGAUCAAUAGCACUGCUGUAUUAUUGUGACCCUCCUGACUGAAGGAAUGGCCCUUGAGAUGCCUGUGGACUUCAGAACGGGAGACACGGCUGCCACAAACAAGCAAAAAGGAAACCUUCAGCAGCUUCCCUUAGCAGCCAUGGAGAGCUUGGAGCAGAGUUGUGGGGUGGAUUUGCCACAGAGCCUGUGCUGGAUCUGCACUGUGUGAUGUGGAGCCACAGCAGGAGCCUCAGCUGCAGAGGACGUGCCCACCUGGAGUGUCAUGGUGUGUGUCACCUCCUGAAGGAUGGCCCCAUCCUCCCCAGGGCUAACCUGGCUGGUGCCCUGCAUAGGAGGGGAUACCCACACCUACAGCACAUGAACCAGCUCUGGGAAGCUCCAGCUCAGCUGCUGCUGCUUCAGGCCAGAAGACCCCAAACCUGAUGGUUUAGACAUAAAAAAGAUGAUUUCACUGAUGAAAUUGGCCUGAAACUGGUCAUUGUUGGCCUGAUGAAAGUGCAUUUCAAUAGAGGCCUACUUGUCCCACGGGAUGAAGGCAGGAGAGUGAUGGAAAAACUUCUGGUGGGUUGUCACUCAUCAUGGUGGCUGGGAGGUGUGACUGGAUGGACCACAGGAUGGACCACAGGCUUGGUCACGCAGGAUGUGAGUCACUUGGGAACUGUGCUGUCCUGACAUGGAGCAAACAGGGGUAGUGAGUCAGAGGUGGCCUGAGCAUGCCAUGGUAGAGCACCAGAAAUAACCUCAGGCUCCAUGGAGGAGCUGCUGACGUGGGGACAACAGGAAUUUCAGCAUUCUGACAGUGUGUAAGGGGGUGGCAGAGCUCCAGAUGGGGUUCCCCAUGGUACGAGCUGGAGCAGGCUUUGAACCUGUGUUGCUUUUAGAGCUGACAUAGGUUUUCAUGUCUGUCUGCUGGCCCAGCAACACCCUCACUGCACUGAGGAGCCUCUGACUGCACAGAGAACCUGCCAGGGCACAGCAGCAAGAUUAAUGUGUCUGGGAAUUUCCUGGUGAGACUUUUUGUGCUAUUUACCAGAAGUCCCUUGAAGGCAGAAAUUAUUGCAUUAAAAGAUUAAGGCAUCAUUAAUCAUAUUUUUUUUGUCUUCCAUUUUCUUCUGGCAGGCUGGCUCAGUAUUACUGGUAAGGUUUUUUAUUUUUUUUCAUUUUUGUCCAUUCAGAAGAAUAAGUUUCUUCAAGUCUUUUCUGUGACUGUGGCAUCCUCAGGUAAGAAGGAGCCUUGAGAAAAUUUUGGGCAGCUGAGUGGAGUUGCUCACUAUUGUGAACACUGACAUUUUGACCUCCUUGCUUUCUAGGUUUCUUUUGACUGAUGUAUAUAAUUCAUGGUUCUUCAUAAAAAUAAUAGAAAUUAUUUUAAAAAAUGUAUUUAUAAGAUAUAGUCGUUGUCCAAAGAUCUUGCCUGGUGUGAGGGGGGUAAUGUGGGAUGGAAGGUGGUUGUAGAUGUACCAAUUUCUUCUGAUGUGGUGGCAGGGGUUGAGAUGGAGGGGUUGACCUGGUCGUGGAGCUUCAGGAUGGUUCCCAGCUAUGGUCUGGCUCCAGAAAGGUUCAAGUAUAGUUUAGAUGCCCAUUUUGGAAAUAUUUGGGAAAUGUGUCCUAACUUAUAAAGCAGAAAAGUUGAAAUGUAACCAAGGAAGAAAUAGCCACUAUGAUAGAAACAGGGUGAUUUUAAAAUUUGCUUUGGUUAUUGAGAGACUCUGCACCACGGGCCAUAGAUAUGACAAAAAGUUGUGUCCUGGCUCCCUGGUGCUUCAUUCAUUUCCAUGCCCACAGCUUUCCUUCUGUGCCUGGUACUACUGCGAGCAAAGCAUUUCUUAAUUUAUGUGCUAAUUAACCUGACAGAGCGAGUUGAUCGUUGGGAGCCUGGGCUCCGGGCAAGCCUGUGUUUGCAGGCAGGGUUCCUUCCCUUUUAUUUUAACUGGAGCAGGGAACGCGAGGCUGGAGCAGUGGGAGGCAGCGGCUCCUCCGGGGGCGGGGGUUCGGGAUGCGCGAAGUGCGAGCGCUGUGGAGGAUGCGGCAGCUUCAGAAAUAUCUGCUUUCAGCCUCCCCUUUUAAUGGAAGUUUUAUUUUAGAAAGUUUUAGUUAACGUCAUUCUAAAGUUUAUUUCCAUUUUAUCUUUUAAAUAAAGAGGCUGUAAAGCUCCUGGCUGGGUUUUUCAUUCCUGCCGGCUGGGAAAAGAGAGGUGAACGGGCUGCUUGUCUCCCGCGGGGAUGCUUUAGGGGCUGCUGGGCUGCAGCCUGACCUACCUACGGCCGUGACUCACCGGGGCAGCUCCUGCAGCCUCCGGAGCUGGAUCCAGCCCCUGCAAAGCCCUGUCACCUGUGCCGCUCUGUCCUGGGGCCGCUGGGUUUGCUUUGCUUCCCGUGCUGCUGCCCCAGCCUGGCACUGAGCCUGGCCAGACCCACUGUUAAUGGAGAAGAGGUCAGCCUGUGCCCCGCUGGCAGCUCUGUGGGGUCUGUGCCAAAGGCUUUGCCCUGGCCGCUGGCAUGGGGAG